ACAGUUCGGUCCCUAUCCGUCGUGGGCGUUGGAAGUUUGAGAGGAGCUGUCCUUAGUACGAGAGGACCGGGAUGGACACACCGCUGGUGUACCAGUUGUUCCGCCAGGAGCAUGGCUGGGUAGCUACGUGUGGAAGGGAUAAGUGCUGAAAGCAUCUAAGCAUGAAGCCCCCCUCUAGAUGAGACUUCCCAUCAUUUUAAAUGAGUAAGAUCCCUCAGAGACGAUGAGGUUGAUAGGUCCGAGGUGGAAGCGUGGUGACACGUGCAGCUGACGGAUACUAAUCGAUCGAGGACUUAACUUA
rnacentral:rRNA from 1 species